UUAUUCAACGCCGCAGAAUGAUUGUCGGAGCUGCAAAUAAAAACUCAAAAAUUUUCUAUAAAUAAAAACUCUUAAAAAGUUUUUCAUUUGAGUUGUUGUAUUUUCUCUCUCCCCUAAAUAUUUUGAGUUUUCCCAAAAAGCCCUUUAAUUUCUCCUCCUAACAAGAGUUUUAGUGGAAGCUUUUGAAGGGAAGAGAAAGGGGUAAAAAAGUAAAUUCAGAAAGAAAAUGGGAAACUGCGCAAACAAGCCGUUGACAACAGAAGGAGAAGCCCCGGUUGAAGUACCGGAAACAAAGGAAACAACAACAACAACGGUGGAGGAUAGAGAUAUUCAAGUUGAUCAAAACAAGGAUGAUGGAAAGAAGGCUGAAGCUGAGAGCGUCGUAAAGGCAGUUGAGGAGAAGGCCUCAGAGCCACCAAAGGUUGAGGAAGUAGCCACCAAAGAAGUGGCUGUUGAGACUAAGAAAGAAGAAGCUCCAAAGCCGGCUGACGAGCCGAAGAAAGAAGAGGCUAAGCCAGCAGCCUCUGAGCCUAAGAAAGAAGAGGCUAAGCCAGUAGUUGUGACUCCAGCUCCAGCCACGGCUCCGGCUCCAGCUGCUGCCGCAGUUCCAGCUCCAGCUGCAGCCACGGCUGAGAAGAAAUGAGAGGCUAAAUGAAGAAAAAAUUAAAUGUUGAUUUGCUGUUAAAAGAAAAAAAAAAAUAUACAAAAGGAAAAAAAAAAAAUUAUAAUGACAAUAAGUCUGUGAUUGGGUAGGAAAAAUUGUUAAUUCAAAAUUUACAUUAGUUUAUUUGGGAUUUUGUUUAAAUGAAUAUGUGAAUGUAUGGGGACAAUGGAGAGUGUUUUAUGAUUUUUUUUUUCUUUUUUUCUUUUUGUGUUGUUAUUUUUAGGGGAAAUUGAGUUUCAUGAAUUUGUUAUUAUUUCUUUGUAAACAUUUUGAUAUGUUUGAUUGUUCAUUAAAAUUGGUCUUAUUUAUUUAUAUUGUGUUAAUCUUUUACGGAGUACUACAUAAUGUAUUCGCAAGAUUAGCGUCUAAUCCCUUACAAAACAUGCAUUAUUGUCUUCUUAGGGAGUGUUUGAUAUAGGGAUUUUAUAGGGAUGGAAACGGAAUCAUAUUAGCGUUUCUGUUACAUUGUGUUUGGUUACGGACUAAAGUAACACAAAUCGUUAGUUAGGGGUAACCCAAUCCACCCAAUUGUUUCCCCUGUAAUAGGUGAGGAAACAAAUCCCCUUUCCUUCCUCUAACACAAAAAAUAAAGAAAAUUCUUGUCUCUCCUCUUCACUUGCUUGAUAAUUCUUUGAAAAUUCCCAAAAAAUUUCGACGAUUCUACGAGGAAGAUGCAAUUCUCCAGAUCUUACUCCUAAAUUUUCGAUUUUCUUCUGCAAAUCUUCAGAAAUUAUCACAGGUUUGCUAUCUUCAUUUCUCUCAUUCAAUUUCUAGGGUUCAUGUAGUAUCAAUUUUUGCGUUUUUGGUAUGAAUUUAUUACUUGCGUGUUCAAUUGCAACUUCAGAAAGUUGUUUUCGUUCAAUUUCUAGGGUUCAUGUAGUAUCAAUUUUUGCGUUUUUUGGUAUGAAUUUAUAACUUGCGUGUUCAAUUGCAAUCUUAGAAAGUUGUUUUUGUUUGAUUUUUGAUUGUAUUAUUAUAAUUACUUCAUGUUUCAGCUACGAAUGUUAUUGUUUUAAGCUUCAAUUCAUUUGAAAUUAUUUAACAAACAUUGGAGUUUUGUAUAAUUUCUUCAUUUGGUAAUUAUAUCUAUGUUAUGAAUGUAAUAGAUUAUUGGUGGUGCUGAACAUGUCUUAUUUUGCUCCAUAUGUAUGCAUUACGAUGAGAAAGUUGCUGCUACUAUUUUGAGUAUAUAGACCAUGGUUUUCUGGUGCUAUACAUGUCUUAUUUUGCUCCAUAUGUGUAUGCAUUACAGUGAGAAAGUUACUGCUACUAUUUUGAGUAUAUAGACCAUGGUUUUUUGCUUAAUUUUGCUUGUUUCUUGAGUAGUUUACUCCUCAUGAUUUGGUUGACAAUAUUUGUUAUUUGAUUAACUAGAGAUUGAUAUAACUAUUGUUUUGCCAUUUAUCAGGUUCAAUUGCCAUUUAUUUUCUGUGUUUCUUGUACAAUGCCUCGACUUAUGCAUUCUAUAAGGAAGAAAAGCUAAAACAAAUACAAAUAGUAAUUGCAAUGGUUAUUAUUAUGUUGAUGAUGUAUUGGAUAUGGUAUAUAAUUAGCGUUGUUACAAUAAGGGGGGUUCAAAUAAAAGAUAGGAAAAGAAACAAAAAAUUGUUACGGAUGUUAGUAUUGAGAGUGCUUUAUAGGAGAGUGAUGUGAAAUGCAAGAGUGAGCUUCGCGUUAAUAGAAAAACUUUCAAUAUUAUUUGUGAGAUGCUUAGAGACAUUGGGGGUUUGAGUGGAACAAAAAACAUGUCGCUUCAAGAGAUAGUAGCCAUGUUUUUAUACACGUUGGCUCAUCAUAAGAAGAAUAGGUCUAUUGGACAUUACUUCUAUAGAAGUGGAGAAACCGUGAGCCGGCAAUUUCACCUUUGUCUAAGGGCUUUUCUCAAGUUGCAUGAAGUACUACUUUACAAUCCCACACAAAUAUUGGAUGAUUGUGAAGAUGAAAGGUGGAAAUCCUUCAAGAAUUGUUUAGGGGCAUUAGAUGAGACUUACAUUAAUGUAAAUGUGCCUUCAAAAGAACGACCAAAGUAUAGAACAAGAAAAGGAACGAUUGCUAUGAAUGUAUUGGGUGUUUGUGCACCUAAUAUGCAAUUUAUUUAUGUUCUUCCUGGUUGGGAAGACUCGGCCCAUGAUAUGCGUGUACUUCGAAAUGCUCUUUCUAGACCAAACGGUUUUAGAGUACCUUGAGAUGGAGGCUAGUCAAGCUAAGGGUGAGGCAAGCAAUCGAGGUAGAGGUAAAAAUAAAAGGUAUUGGACGUAUGAAGCUCAGCAUCUUCUAUCAAGCUCCAACUAAUAUGAAGAAACAAUAUGCAAUUGAUCUUCUUAAGAAGAAGUAGAAAGUUUUGUCCUAAGUUGUUGUUAUUGGAGUUAAUGUUUUAAUGGUUUUUAAAUGCUUUUUUUUAUUAUUAUUAUUUUUUUUUUUUUUUAGAAUACUAGAAUUUCAAUGCUUUUGUAGUCAACAACUUAUGUGACUUUGCCUAUAUAUCUAGCAUAUGAUAUAUUAUGGUAAUCGGUUCAAAAAAUAUAUAUAUGUAUAUUAUGGUAAUUAGUGUUGCUCUACAUUGUAUAAUGUAUAUCAAAAGUUAGCCAAGACA